rnacentral:rRNA from 1 species
GCUUGUCUCAAGACUAAGCCAUGCAUGUCCAAGUAUAAACGCCGUUAUACUGUGAAACUGCGAAUGGCUCAUUAAAUCAGUUAUAGUUUAUUUGAUGGUUGAAUGCUACUUGGAUAACCGUAGUAAUUCUAGAGCUAAUACAUGCAGAAAGUCCCGACUUCCGGAAGGGAUGUAUUUAUUAGAUCCAAAACCAGCGCGGGUCUCCUCGUGGGGCUCGGUUGCUCGGUGAUUCAUGAUUACUCCUCGAAUCGUACGGCCUCGCGCCGGCGAUGAUCCAUUCAAAUUUCUGCCCUAUCAACUUUCGAUGGUACGGUAGUGGCCUACCAUGGUUGCAACGGGUGACGGAGAAUUAGGGUUCGAUUCCGGAGAGGGAGCCUGAGAAACGGCUACCACAUCCAAGGAAGGCAGCAGGCGCGCAAAUUACCCAAUCCCGACUCGGGGAGGUAGUGACAAUAAAUAACAAUGCCGGGCUAUGUUAGUCUGGCAAUUGGAAUGAGUACAAUCUAAACCCCUUAACGAGGAACAAUUGGAGGGCAAGUCUGGUGCCAGCAGCCGCGGUAAUUCCAGCUCCAAUAGCGUAUAUUAAAGUUGUUGCAGUUAAAAAGCUCGUAGUUGGAUUUCGGGGCAGCCCGGCCGGUCCGUCGCGAGGCGAGUACUGGUCGCGCGCCCUUCCUCUCGGAGGCCCCGACUGCUCUUCAUUGCAGUGGUCGGGGAGUUCGGGACGUUUACUUUGAAAAAAUUAGAGUGUUCAAGGCAGGCCGUCGCCUGAAUACAUUAGCAUGGAAUAAUGGAAGAGGACCUCGGUCCUAUUUUGUUGGUUUCCAGGGCCGAAGUAAUGAUUAAGAGGGACAGUUGGGGGCAUUCGUAUUUAAUUGUCAGAGGUGAAAUUCUCGGAUUUAUGAAAGACGAACAAGUGCGAAAGCAUUUGCCAAGGAUGUUUUCAUUAAUCAAGAACGAAAGUUGGGGGUUCGA